UUGUUUUUUACUUCUGUUUACCUCACCUGCACUCGCUUUUUCUAACUCUUUUCUCCCUCUUUCAAUCACUUUUCCUCAUUCAGCUGAUGCUGAUAAUGAGUUUCAUUACUGAAAGUGGCCUUCCAGUGCUAUCUCAGAAGAUUGCAGUGCUAGUGAAAUGCAGCAGAUCAUCGCAGUGAUUCUGCUUUCUUCCCGCACGUUUUACCCAUCAUGCAGCAUGGCGGCAAAUGUGUGCCGCUGCAGACAUCGCAGUAUGCAAAAAAGGGCUUAAAGUACUUGAUUACAGAUCCAAGUGAACAAGGCUGAACAGGACAAUACAACACAGCCUCCAAGAAGACCAAGGCCAAUGUGGUUUGAACUACUUUGAAAAGAAGAGAUAGCGUAACAUAUCCACUCAACAAACAACCUUAACCUGCAACCAGUAAAUGGUGCCCAGUAAAGCUGCUGUCAAGCUUGAACUGCUUCGAGUGAUUCCUUAAGGCAGAAGACGUCACACAGUGGUCACAGAUAUACAAAGAAAAACCCAGGCGUAAAAUACAUACUGUGUGCUUUCACAGCUCAAAUAUGCACUCACAAUAAAAGAAAUACUGGGAAUGAUU